rnacentral:rRNA from 1 species
GACGAACGCUGGCGGCGUGCCUAAUACAUGCAAGUAGAACGCUGAAGAGAGGAGCUUGCUCUUCUUGGAUGAGUUGCGAACGGGUGAGUAACGCGUAGGUAACCUGCCUUGUAGCGGGGGAUAACUAUUGGAAACGAUAGCUAAUACCGCAUACAAUGGAUGACACAUGUCAUUUAUUUGAAAGGGGCAAUUGCUCCACUACAAGAUGGACCUGCGUUGUAUUAGCUAGUAGGUGAGGUAACGGCUCACCUAGGCGACGAUACAUAGCCGACCUGAGAGGGUGAUCGGCCACACUGGGACUGAGACACGGCCCAGACUCCUACGGGAGGCAGCAGUAGGGAAUCUUCGGCAAUGGGGGCAACCCUGACCGAGCAACGCCGCGUGAGUGAAGAAGGUUUUCGGAUCGUAAAGCUCUGUUGUAAGUCAAGAACGAGUGUGAGAGUGGAAAGUUCACACUGUGACGGUAGCUUACCAGAAAGGGACGGCUAACUACGUG